UGGGGAAUAUUGGACAAUGGGCGCAAGCCUGAUCCAGCAAUGCCGCGUGUGUGAAGAAGGCCUUCGGGUUGUAAAGCACUUUUAUCAGGAGCGAAACGCUGUCGGCUAAUACCCGGCGGAACUGACGGUACCUGAGGAACAAGCACCGGCUAACUUCGUGCCAGCAGCCGCGGUAAUACGAAGGGUGCAAGCGUUAAUCGGAAUUACUGGGCGUAAAGCGUGCGUAGGCGGUUUCUUAAGUCUGCUGUGAAAUCCCCGGGCUCAACCUGGGAAUGGCAGUGGAUACUGGGAGGCUAGAGUGUGUCAGAGGGUGGUGGAAUUCCCGGUGUAGCGGUGAAAUGCGUAGAGAUCGGGAGGAACAUCAGUGGCGAAGGCGGCCACCUGGGACAACACUGACGCUGAGGCACGAAAGCGUGGGGGAGCAAACAGGAUUAGAUACCCUGGUAGUCCACGCCCUAAACGAUGCGAACUGGAUGUUGGUCUCAACUCGGAGAUCAGUGUCGAAGCUAACGCGUUAAGUUCGCCGCCUGGGGAGUACGGUCGCAAGACUGAAACUCAAAUGAAUUGACGGGGUCAUAGCUGUUUCCUG
rnacentral:rRNA from 1 species